rnacentral:ncRNA from 1 species
AGGAGCCGUAUGAGGUGAAAGUCUCAAGUACGGUUUGGAAGUGGAGUUGGGGAAGGCGACUUCCCUUUCGACCAUAAC